rnacentral:rRNA from 1 species
CCUAUGGGAGGCAGCAGUGAGGAAUAUUGGUCAAUGGACGAGAGUCUGAACCAGCCAAGUAGCGUGAAGGAUGACUGCCCUAUGGGUUGUAAACUUCUUUUAUAUGGGAAUAAAAUGUUCCACGUGUGGGAUUUUGUAUGUACCAUAUGAAUAAGGAUCGGCUAACUCCGUGCCAGCAGCCGCGGUAAUUCGGAGGAUCCGAGCGUUAUCCGGAUUUAUUGGGUUUAAAGGGAGCGUAGGUGGGUUUUUAAGUCAGUCGGGAAAGUUUGCGGCGUAACCGUAAAAUUGCAGUUGAAACUGGCGGUCUAGAGUAGAGUAGAGGUAGGCGGAAUUCGUGGUGUAGCGGUGAAAUGCUUAGAUAUCACGAAGAACUCCGAUUGCGAAGGCAGCACACUGG